UUCCUAAUGGCAGCUCCUCCAGAGCCUUGUUCAGAUCCAGAAUUGUUGUUGUUGUUGGCAGCCAUCUCAGUUUCGAAGACGGCUGAAGAAGGAUGAAUGGUAGAAGAAGAAGAGUGUUUUGGAGAGGAAGAAGGUGAAACAGUCUCGUCGUCCGUGGUCAUGGUGAACGAACGGUGAGAUUAACACCGACGACAGCAGAAGAUGUAGCCGACGGUUUUGAUACCAUAUUGAAUUUAUGAGAUAAAGCUUUCAAUUGUAUUAUGAUAUGAAGGAUUGAUGAAAUCAUGUCCUUAUUUGUAUAUAUUUGGAUCUUAUUUAUUUUAUUUGCUAGUUAGGUAGUUACCAUGUUACUGUUAAUCCUACCCUAUUUAGCUAGCAGAUCCUAUUAGGUAGUGAUAGUGAAUAUUUUCUUCCCCUAAUCAGUAGGAGGUCUACUGUAUAUAUUGAGCCUACGGGACAUGAAUAAUAAUCAAUCAAUUCUCUCAAUCUUUAUGGUAUCAGAGCCUUCUCUGUACCUUGCCUAAACACUUCCGCCGCUAUCUGAAGCCAUGGUGACAAAAGGAGCCUUGAACGUAUCCGACAAUGCUGGGACUGGAGAUAUCGCGAGCACCGUGGCACCAGCAGCAGCAACGGACUACUCUAGCUUCCUUACCACACAUAGGCUGGAUGGCAAAAACUAUCUCAAAUGGUCUAAGACCGUGGAGAUGCAUAUCACAGGAAGAGGAAAAGGAGGAUACCUCACAGGGAAAAUCAAAGCACCAGAAGAGACGGAUCCAAAAUUCCAAAUCUGGAAUGAACAUGACAACUUGGUGCGUACCUGGCUGAUCAACUCCAUGAAGCCUAACAUCGGGGAGAAUUACAUCCUUCACCCGACUGCCAAGGCCAUCUGGGAUGCUGCCAAGAGUACAUACUCAACGAUCGACAACUCCUCUGCCAUGUUCAAGAUCGAGCAGCAACUGUUCCAUCUUCAGCAAGGAAAAAUGGAUGUCACGGAGUAUUACAAUACUCUCGGACAUCACUGGCUACACCUGGAUACGUAUGAAGCACAACAAUGUGAUACUCCGGAAGAUCAGCUACGAUUCAGGAAGUAUAUUGAGAAGAAAAGGAUUCUAGCCUUCCUCCUAGGUUUGAAUCAGGACCUGGACAGCCUAAAAGGCCAAAUCAUGAGCACCAAGCCCUUCACUAGUCUCACUGAGGCAUUCGCUGUGACAUUUGGGGAAGAACACCGAAGGGAUCUCAUGGUUGCUCCAGCCAAAACCCCUCCUACUCCUCCGAGAGUUCAACCCUUGCUGUGCGUAGCCAAUAACGCAACAACAAGCAGGUGCAGAACCCACCAAAAGGUCCUCAAAACUGAUAAUGCCCACGACUACUUCAAUUCAGUCCUAGGGUCAUAGUUGUCUUAGCAUGGCAUUGUUAACUACAGUUCAUGUGUUGACACACCUCAGCAGAACGGAAUUGCUGCGCAAGAAUCGACAUCUCCUCGAAACAGCAUGAGCACUGCUCUUCACGAAACAGGUUCCAAAGUAUCUUUGGGGGGAGGCUGUUUUAACAGCAACUUACUUGAUCAAUAGGUUACAAGUCGCAUCCUCAACUAUCAAACACCGAAAGAUGUGUUGAUGCAAGCAUACCCUCAUGUACGUGCGUAUAUGUCCGAAUUGGAACCUAAGGUCUUCGGGUGCCUUGCCUACACCCACAUCCAGCAACAUCAAAGGACCAAGCUUGAUCCACGGGCACAGAAGUGUGUGUUCAUUGGCUAUGCUCCCCGGCAGAAAGGUUACAAAUGCCUCUCCCCUAUCACCAGAAAAAUUGUUGUUACUAUGGAUGUGACAUUUUUUGAAACCUUUGCCUAUUACACCACGUUAGAGAUAGUUACCAUGUUAGUGUUAGUCCUACCCUAUUUAGCUAGCAGUGAUAGUGAAUAUUUUCUUCCCCUAAUCAGUAGGAGGUCUAUUGUAUAUAUUGAGCCUACGAGACAUGAAUAAUAAUCAAUUAAUUCUCUCAAUCUUCAAGGAUUACAUAAGGGGUACAUAGGUUUAUAUAGAGGUAGGAUAGAAGAAUCCUUACACUCUAAGUACU
rnacentral:lncRNA from 1 species